rnacentral:rRNA from 1 species
GACGAACGCUGGCGGCGUGCUUAACACAUGCAAGUCGAACGGAAAGGCCCUGCUUUUGUGGGGUGCUCGAGUGGCGAACGGGUGAGUAACACGUGAGUAACCUGCCCUUGACUUUGGGAUAACUUCAGGAAACUGGGGCUAAUACCGGAUAGGAGCUCCUGCUGCAUGGUGGGGGGUGGAAAGUUUCGGCGGUUGGGGAUGGACCCGCGGCUUAUCAGCUUGUUGGUGGGGUAGUGGCUUACCAAGGCUUUGACGGGUAGCCGGCCUGAGAGGGUGACCGGCCACAUUGGGACUGAGAUACGGCCCAGACUCCUACGGGAGGCAGCAGUGGGGAAUAUUGCACAAUGGGCGGAAGCCUGAUGCAGCAACGCCGCGUGCGGGAUGACGGCCUUCGGGUUGUAAACCGCUUUCGCCUGUGACGAAGCGUGAGUGACGGUAAUGGGUAAAGAAGCACCGGCUAACUACGUG